rnacentral:rRNA from 1 species
UACGAAGGGGGCUAGCGUUGCUCGGAAUUACUGGGCGUAAAGCGUGCGCAGGCGGUUUUGUAAGCCAGAUGUGAAAUCCCCGGGCUUAACCUGGGAAUGGCAUUUGGGACUGCAAGGCUGGAGUGCGGCAGAGGAGACUGGAAUUCCUGGUGUAGCAGUGAAAUGCGUAGAUAUCAGGAGGAAUACCGAUGGCGAAGGCAGGUCUCUGGGCUGACACUGACGCUCAUGCACGAAAGCGUGGGGAGCAAACAGG